rnacentral:tRNA from 1 species
UCCCUGGUGGCUCAGAGGUUAAAGCAUCUGCCUGCAAUGCAGGAGACCUAGGUUUGAUCCCUGGGUCGGGAA